rnacentral:rRNA from 1 species
AACGAACGCUGGCGGCAUGCCUAACACAUGCAAGUCGAACGAGAUCUUCGGGUCUAGUGGCGCACGGGUGCGUAACGCGUGGGAAUCUGCCCUUUGGUUCGGAAUAACAGUUGGAAACGACUGCUAAUACCGGAUGAUGACGAAAGUCCAAAGAUUUAUCGCCAGAGGAUGAGCCCGCGUAGGAUUAGCUAGUUGGUGUGGUAAAGGCGCACCAAGGCGACGAUCCUUAGCUGGUCUGAGAGGAUGAUCAGCCACACUGGGACUGAGACACGGCCCAGACUCCUACGGGAGGCAGCAGUGGGGAAUAUUGGACAAUGGGCGAGAGCCUGAUCCAGCAAUGCCGCGUGAGUGAUGAAGGCCUUAGGGUUGUAAAGCUCUUUUACCCGGGAUGAUAAUGACAGUACCGGGAGAAUAAGCUCCGGCUAACUCCGUGCCAGCCGCCGCCGUAAUAC